CCUACGGGUGUCAGCAGUGAGGAAUAUUGGUCAAUGGCCGAAAGGCUGAACCAGCCAAGUCGCGUGAGGGAAGACGGCCCUACGGGUUGUAAACCUCUUUUGUCAGGGAGCAACGCGAGUCACGUGUGACUCAUCUAGAGUAACCGAAGGAAAAGCAUCGGCUAACUCCGUGCCAGCAGCCGCGGUAAUACGGAGGAUGCGAGCGUUAUCCGGAUUUAUUGGGUUUAAAGGGUGCGCAGGCGGAAUGGCAAGUCAGCGGUCAAAUUGCGGGGCUCAACCCCGUACCGCCGUUGAAACUGCAGUUCGUGAGUGGGCGAGAAGUAUGCGGAAUGCGUGGUGUAGCGGUGAAAUGCAUAGAUAUCACGCAGAACUCCGAUUGCGAAGGCAGUAUACCGGCGCGCAACUGACGCUGAGGCACGAAAGCGUGGGUAUCGAACAGGAUUAGAUACCCGGGUAGUC
rnacentral:rRNA from 1 species